CAAGGCUCUAAGGCUCAUUUUAUUGAGGUAGGGAGAUCAGCCUGUAUUAUCCAUGUGAGCUCAAUGUGAUCACAAGGGUUUUGAAAAGUGGAAGAAGGAAGCAGGAAAAUUCAGAGUCGGGGCGAUGUGGCUACAGAUGAAUGGUCAGGGAGAUGCAACUACUGGCUUUGAAGAUAGGGGGAAGAAGGGUCACAAGUCAAGGAAUUGAGUGCCCUCCAGAAGCCAGAAAAGAUAAACUACAACUGUACCCAAAGCCUUUCUGAAUGAAGAUUUAUCAUCCUGAGGAGAAAAACCAAAGGUAA
rnacentral:lncRNA from 10 species